UACGUAGGGGGGCGAGCGUUGUCCGGAUUUAUUGGGCGUAAAGAGCGUGUAGGCGGCCAUACAGGUCAGCUGUGAAAACUCGAGGCUCAACCUCGAGACGUCGGUUGAAACCGUAUGGCUAGAGUCCGGAAGAGGAGAGUGGAAUUCCCGGUGUAGCGGUGAAAUGCGCAGAUAUCGGGAAGAACACCCGUGGCGAAGGCGGCUCUCUGGGACGGUACUGACGCUGAGACGCGAAAGCGUGGGGAGCGAACAGG
rnacentral:rRNA from 1 species